rnacentral:lncRNA from 1 species
AGAAUUUAGUGGUUACAUAUUAGUAAUUAAUAUCAGUUAAGGAAUUCUAGAGGGCAUGAUUAGUUAGUUAGGAUAUAUACAAGACAUUAAUCAUAAAUAUUAAAAGUUGACAGUUUAAACAUAAAAUAUGAUAUCAAUACCAAUAAAAACUUUCCACUAAUCCUUUCCACUACAACAAUUACAAGUACUGACUUUCCACUAACUCUCUUAUAAGUCUAACGGUUUUUCUUCUCUAUUUGUGGCCAUUCAAUACACAAGUUGAUUUAUUGUUG